rnacentral:rRNA from 1 species
ACGCUGGCGGCAUGCUUUACACAUGCAAGUCGGACGGCAGCACAGAGAAGCUUGCUUCUUGGGUGGCGAGUGGCGAACGGGUGAGUAACAUAUCGGAACGUACCGAGUAGUGGGGGAUAACUGAUCGAAAGAUCAGCUAAUACCGCAUACGUCUUGAGAGGGAAAGCAGGGGACCUUCGGGCCUUGCGCUAUUCGAGCGGCCGAUAUCUGAUUAGCUAGUUGGUGGGGUAAAGGCCUACCAAGGCGACGAUCAGUAGCGGGUCUGAGAGGAUGAUCCGCCACACUGGGACUGAGACACGGCCCAGACUCCUACGGGAGGCAGCAGUGGGGAAUUCUGGACAAUGGGCGCAAGCCUGAUCCAGCCAUGCCGCGUGUCUGAAGAAGGCCUUCGGGUUGUAAAGGACUUUUGUCAGGGAAGAAAAGGCUGUUGCUAAUAUCAGCGGCUGAUGACGGUACCUGAAGAAUAAGCACCGGCUAACUACGUGCCAGCAGCCGCGGUAAUACGUAGGGUGCGAGCGUUAAUCGGAAUUACUGGGCGUAAAGCGAGCGCAGACGGUUACUUAAGCAGGAUGUGAAAUCCCCGGGCUCAACCUGGAACUGCGUUCUGAACUGGGUGACUAGAGUGUGUCAGAGGGAGGUAGAAUUCCACGUGUAGCAGUGAAAUGCGUAGAGAUGUGGAGGAAUACCGAUGGCGAAGGCAGCCUCCUGGGAUAACACUGACGUUCAUGCUCGAAAGCGUGGGUAGCAAACAGGAUUAGAUACCCUGGUAGUCCACGCCCUAAACGAUGUCAAUUAGCUGUUGGGCAACUUGAUUGUUCAGUAGCGUAGCUAACGCGUGAAAUUGACCGCCUGGGGAGUACGGUCGCAAGAUUAAAACUCAAAGGAAUUGACGGGGACCCGCACAAGCGGUGGAUGAUGU